rnacentral:rRNA from 1 species
AGAGUUUGAUCAUGGCUCAGAACGAACGCUGGCGGCAUGCCUAACACAUGCAAGUCGUACGAGAAAGCGGGGGCAACCUCGUGAGUAAAGUGGCGUACGGGUGAGUAACACGUGGGUAAUCUACCUCUGGGUGUGGAAUAACGCUGGGAAACCGGCGCUAAUACCGCAUAAGCUCGGGAGAGGAAAGCAGCAAUGCGCCGAGAGAGGAGCCCGCGGCCGAUUAGCUAGUUGGUGAGGUAACGGCUCACCAAGGCUUAGAUCGGUAGCCGGCCUGAGAGGGCACACGGCCACACUGGCACUGAAACACGGGCCAGACUCCUACGGGAGGCAGCAGUGGGGAAUCUUGCACAAUGGGGGCAACCCUGAUGCAGCGACGCCGCGUGAGCGAUGAAGCCCUUCGGGGUGUAAAGCUCUUUCGGCAGGGAAGAUUAUGACGGUACCUGCAGAAGCAGCUGCGGCUAACUACGUGCCAGCAGCCGCGGUAAUACGUAGGCAGCGAGCGUUGUUCGGAGUUACUGGGCGUAAAGGGUGUGUAGGCGGCUCUCCAAGUUUGGUGUGAAAUCUCCCGGCUCAACCGGGAGGGUGCGCCGAAAACUGGAAGGCUAGAGUGCGGGAUGGGAGAGUGGAAUUCCUGGUGUAGCGGUGAAAUGCGUAGAUAUCAGGAGGAACACCGGUGGUGUAGACGGCUCUCUGGACCGUAACUGACGCUGAGACACGAAAGCGUGGGUAGCAAACAGGAUUAGAUACCCUAGUAGUCC